rnacentral:rRNA from 1 species
AAUAGAUACCCCGGUAGUCCUAGCCGUAAACGAUGGACACUAGGUGUUGGUGGUAUCAACCCCACCAGUGCCGAAGCUAACGCAUUAAGUGUCCCGCCUGGGGAGUACGGCCGCAAGGCUAAAACUCAAAGGGAAUUGGACGGGGCCCCGCACAAGCAGCGGAGCGUGGGGUUUAAUUCGAUGCAACGCGAAGAACCUUACCAGGGCUUGACAUGACCAGGAAUCCGGCGGAAACGUCGGCGUCCCGCAAGGGACCUGGCCACAGGUGUUGCAUGGCUGUCGUCAGCUCGUGUCGUGAGACGUUGGGUUAAGUCCCGCAACGAGCGCAACCCCUAUCGUGUGUUGUAUCACUCACACGAGACUGCCGAGAGAAACUCGGAGGAAGGCGGGGAUGACGUCAAGUCAGCAUGGCCCUUACGUCCUGGGCUACACCCACGCUACAAUGGCCGGUACAACGGGCUGCGAAACCGCGAGGUGGAGCUAAUCCCUUAAAGCCGGUCUCAGUUCGGAUUGUAGGCUGCAACUCGCCUACAUGAAGCCGGAGUUGCUAGUAACCC